GCCUGUCAGUGGACACUAAAGGGGAGGCUGAAGGAGCUGCCUCCACACAAGCAGAGAAGAUGGAGUGCCCACAAAUAAUGUCCUCCCCAGCUCCAUCUCUUACACCUGGAAACGGAGUGACUUGUUUCAGAGGAAAAUUUCUGCAAAACAGGCACACAUUUGUUAUUAGUGAAGUUAACACCACGCUGGAAGAAUCAUAAAUCCAAGCUGUAAAUUCACUGGUUUUUAGAAGACUCAUUUAUUUUCUUCCAUAGGAAAUAAAAUUCUACUGCAAGGGAA